rnacentral:rRNA from 1 species
GAAUCUUGGACAAUGGGGGCAACCCUGAUCCAGCGAUGCCGCGUGGGUGAUGAAGGCCCUAGGGUUGUAAAGCUCUUUUGUCCGGGAAGAUAAUGACUGUACCGGAAGAAUAAGCCCCGGCUAACUUCGUGCCAGCAGCCGCGGUAAUACGAAGGGGGCUAGCGUUGCUCGGAAUCACUGGGCGUAAAGGGCGCGUAGGCGGAUCUUUAAGUCGGGGGUGAAAGCCCAGGGCUCAACCCUGGAAUUGCCUUCGAUACUGAAGAUCUUGAGACCGGUAGAGGUAAGUGGAACUGCGAGUGUAGAGGUGAAAUUCGUAGAUAUUCGCAAGAACACCAGUGGCGAAGGCGGCUUACUGGACCGGUUCUGACGCUGAGGCGCGAAAGCGUGGGGAGCAAAC